rnacentral:misc_RNA from 1 species
AAGUCGUAACAAGGUUUCCGUAGGUGAACCUGCGGAAGGAUCAUUAACACUCCAAAACAAACUCAUUACUCUUGGCAACAAGGGUAUAUGAAACCCUAUUCACAAGCGAACCCGAAGGGAAACACGUGAGAAGGCGAGACUUUCUGGUUUCAAUCUCUCACUGUUUUUCUCCUUCAACAUUUUCUUUUGUCCCUUUUUUUUCUUUUAAGCCCCACACAUUUUACUUUUAGACUGACUGAGACGCAAGUCUCGUUGUACUUCGAAAGAAGCGCAAUGAAAAUCGAUAAGAUUAACAAAAAAACAACUCUUAGCAACGGAUAUCUUGGUUCUC